CUCCCUGUGGCUCAGUUGGUAGAGCAUGGUGUUUGCAAUGCCAGGGUUGUGGGUUCAAUUCCCACAGGGGGCA
rnacentral:tRNA from 1 species